rnacentral:lncRNA from 1 species
GAAUACAGAAAUUAAAAUUAAAAUUAAAGAUGACCUAUCAGAUCAUCACAGUAACUUAAUAUAAGAUUUUACAUCAAAAUUGUUUGCCUUAUACAAUAUAACAAAUGACUUCUUAAUGUGACGAUUUAUAGCCAAUAAAUGAUUUUUGACUCCAUAUGUGAUUAAACAUCAUCACAUAAAUUGAAGAAAAGUACUUAAAAGGAAAUGAAUGUUGUUAGUUAGAAAGAAAAGUAGCAACAAGAUCAGAAGCGCCCACACUCGGUAAUCAAUCAGGCAAAUAGCGCAAAGUUGAUAAGGAUGAGAUCCGGUUCCCCCUGACGACAACAUCCGCUACAAAUGUUGAGAAACAAAGUGAGCUUGCAACUUUUGUUAUUCCUGUGGCUGGUUAAUGAUUUUCCUUUUCUUCUUCCCUAUUUAUGAGUCAAUAAUUAAAUUUAAGUAAAUAUAUAAAAAAGAUUAUUGUCCCUUACAGUUUGGUUUUUCAAAUUUCCAAAUUAAAAAAAAAUUCCAAUUAUAUUCAUACACUAGUAUGAAUUGAUGUUUUAGUUUUUUCACGAUUUUAGAAAUAAAUAAAAUAAUAUUAUCUCCAAACGCAAGAUUAAAUUACGAAAUGAAAAAAUUAACUCUUCAAGUAACCUUAUUUAAGGAAGACUAUCGCGUGGGACCAGUAUUCCUUAUCUAUUAAGAAAUCUCAAAAUUAAGAAAGAAAAAGAAAAGAAGAAAGAAAAGUGAUCGAAAACAAUGGGACAACGAAAAAGGAGGAUAGAAAGAAAACAGUGGAGAAGGAAGAACCCAGGGGGCGGCAGGGGCCAUAUAGAAUACUGAGCAGUCGUUUGGUUUGGUACGCAUAAGGUGAGAUAAGAAGUAGGAUAAAAUAUAUAACUUGUUUGGUUGGAAAUAUAAAUUUAUAUAGUAAAUUAAAUAAGGUAUAAAUUUAAUCUCAAACUUAAUCCAGGAUAUUUUAUCUUAUCCUAUCAAAUAUGACAUUAUUUUAUCCCAUCUUUUAUGUGAUAUAAAUUAAUACUUCAAAGAUUAUAAUUUCGGAAUAAUUUAAUCCGCGUAUCAAACGUCCCGUAAUAGUAUAGUCGUUUUAUCCAACGGAGCUAAAGCAUUUAUAAAUGGAUUCUUAAGGGCAGGAGAGAGAUUAAAGAGUAAGAGCCUAUAAUAUAUACUCCAACAGGUGUUUGGCGGCGAAAACAUUAAAAAGGUGAAAAAUAAAGAUAAAGAGGAAAAGAGAUUGAUCGAGAUCGAGUUCGAAAUCGAGAUGAUACCGGUGGCAAUCAUGGCGGAGUUGUUGGAGGAAUACACGGUGCUGUUAGCGAGGGUGCUGGAGCAUAUGUUCCAGCAAGCUCCUUUGCCCUUUCCUAGGCGGGUCCGCUUCCUCAUUCUUCGAAGUCUUCCUUUUGCCUCCUCUUCCACUUCCAAUCCUCACCUAUAUCUUACCACUCUGUCAUUCAUUUAGAGCUUGAUUCUACUUCUUCUUUUUCUCUUCUACUAAGUAGAGUAAUAUACAUAUAUAUACGCCCGCGUGCGUGUGUAAUUUUUAGCUUUGUGGUUGUAAAAUUGUAUAUAUGCCUACUUGUUCUAUAUUGUUAUGGAGUACUGUAUUUGGCCAAGUGCUAUAUUAAGCGAUAACCUGCAGUGUGCAGUAUAUGCUCUGAACAUUUCAAGUUUCCUAUGUUGCAUCUGCAUCCAUGGUUGGUUUGGCGAGUAGGCUUGCAACCUGUGGUGGACGCACGUGGUCAGCUUCGUCAAAAAAUAAUAUUGUGUAUAUGUAUAAAUUACGAUUAAAACUAUAUAAAUUUUAUAUAAAUAUUUUAUUUGAACUCACUUAACAACUAUUAGUUAACGACUAAAAUCAUGUACCUCUAAGAUUGAACCUGCUUGCACAAAAUUUUUGAUGUCCCGCCACUUACAACUAGUCAAUAUACAAAAUAAAGAAGAAACCUUGAGCUAGGUGCUACGUGACGAGCUACUGCUAGAAGAUAAAUUCAAGAGAAAGGGUGACAAAAUAGGGCUUCUAGAUCAAUAUUGAAUAAUAGAGUUAGUACAGUACGAGGAAAUGGUUCCAUCCAUCCUCAGUUAGGCCCGUAAUUUGUAGAAAGCUCUAGAUUUUGGAAAUCGG